rnacentral:rRNA from 1 species
AUUCCAGCUCCAGUAGCGUAUAUUAAAGCUGUUGCAGUUAAAAAGCUCGUAGUUGGAUCUUGGGCCCAGGCCUGCGGUCCGCCGUGAGGCGAGUACUGCAGUCCUGGCCUUCCUCUCGGUUUUCGCCCGGUGCCCUUAACUGAGUGCCAGGAGAGGCCGGAACGUUUACUUUGAAAAAAUUGGAGUGUUCAAAGCAGGCCUCGCGCCUGAACAGCAGAGCAUGGAAUAAUGGAAUAGGACCUCGGUUCUAUUGCGUUGGUUUUCGGAACUCGAGGUAAUGAUUAAGAGGGACUGACGGGGGCAUUCGUAUUGCGGUGUGAGAGGUGAAAUUCUUGGAUCGCCGCAAGACGACCGACUGCGAAAGCAUUUGCCAAGAAUGUUUUCAUCA